rnacentral:rRNA from 1 species
UACGGAGGAUCCAAGCGUUAUCCGGAUUCAUUGGGCUUAAAGGGUGCGUAGGCGGAACGAUAAGUCAGUGGUGAAAGCCUGCAGCUUAACUGCAGAACUGCCAUUGAUACUGUCGAUCUUGAGUACAUUUGAUGAGGGCGGAAUGUGUCAUGUAGCGGUGAAAUGCUUAGAUAUGACACAGAACACCGAUUGCGAAGGCAGCUCUCAAAACUGUAACUGACGCUGAGGCACGAAAGCGUGGGUAUCAAACAGG